rnacentral:rRNA from 1 species
CACGUAGGCACCAAGCGUUGUCCGGAUUUAUUGGGCGUAAAGAGCUCGUAGGCGGUUCAGUAAGUCGGGUGUGAAACUUUGGGCUUAACCCAAAGCGUGCAUCCGAUACUGCUGUGACUUGAGUUCGGUAGGGGAGUGGGGAAUUCCUAGUGUAGCGGUGAAAUGCGCAGAUAUUAGGAGGAACACCGGUGGCGAAGGCGCCACUCUGGGCCGAAACUGACGCUGAGGAGCGAAAGCAUGGGUAGCAAACAGG